rnacentral:tRNA from 1 species
GGCUUUAUAGUCAAGAAUGAUAUUAGACUGCAAUUCUAAAGGAGUGGUAUUACCAACUAAAGCUU